AUAUUACAAGCAUGCCUAAUGUUUACAUGUUGUUUAGAUCUUGCUGCACAUUAUGAAGCCUUUUUGAGAUAUCCAACAUCUUCAUCUGCAAUGAGUGCUCUAGUUCCAUCCUCAAUUGCAUUGAGUGUGCCAUCUACAUCUGCAAUAAUUGGUAUG